UUGGAGGGCAAGUCUGGUGCCAGCAGCCGCGGUAAUUCCAGCUCCAAUAGCGUAUAUUAAAGUUGUUGUGGUUAAAAAGCUCGUAGUUGAACCUUGGGCCCGGCUGGCCGGUCCGCCUCACCGCGUGUACUGGUCCGGCCGGGCCUUUCCCUCUGUGGAACCCCAUGCCCUUCACUGGGUGUGGCGGGGAAACAGGACUUUUACUGUGAAAAAAUUAGAGUGCUCCAGGCAGGCCUAUGCUCGAAUACAUUAGCAUGGAAUAAUAGAAUAGGACGUGUGG
rnacentral:rRNA from 1 species